CUGACACUUCGAGCCUUCCUCCAGUAUACAGUCAAACUUCUGAGUGUGAUAUCUCAAGCUCUCUCUGCUGGUUAUGCUGCCUGUCCAGGCUUACCUUUGGAACACUCGCCUAUACUUGCAGCUUAUCAGACUCACCAUACCCUAAAAUUCCUCUGAAAGAAUUAAACUUAAAAGAAGAAGAAGAAGAAGAAGAGGGGGAAUUGGAAAAAGAGAAUGAGAGAAAUUACUUCUACCAAAAGGCUUCAGCCUGAAGAAAUCAGAACUGCUAAAGACUCCUGAAGAGAAAGGUAGCGAUUGAGACCUUACCUGUGACAGAGCAGAACAGAGGAGAGUUCCAAGGAGAAGCCCCUGCAUGUUCCCGGCACUGGCGCGCAGCACACCCGAGAGAUAGGAAGCCAGUGCUUAGGGCCGGCCACACAAAGCUCUCCUCUGUCUCCUCAGUAGAAGAACACACA